GUUUAUUUUUGCUAGCAUAUCCUUAUACGAGACACUAGAUUGCAUUUUUGCUAAUGGGCAUGAAGUGUUUGGCGGCUUACAUCUUUCAUCUUUGUGGCUGCAUAAUGAAGUGAUUCUGCAGGAGUUUCAUCAGACUUAAAGGACCACUAUAGUGCCAGAAAAACACUCGUUUUCCUGGCACUAUAGUGCCCUGAGGGUGCCCCCACCCUCAGGGACCCCCUUCCGCCCGGCUCUGGAAAGGGGAAAGGGGUUUAAACUUACCUUUUUCCAGCGCUGGGCGGAGAGCUCUCCUC